rnacentral:sRNA from 1 species
AUAUCAAUAAGCGGAGGAAAAGAAACCAACAGGGAUUGCCCUAGUAACGGCGAGUGAAGCGGCAACAGCUCAAAUUUGAAAUCUGGCUCUUUCAGAGUCCGAGUUGUAAUUUGCAGAGGGCGCUUUGGCUUUGGCAGCGGUCCAAGUUCCUUGGAACAGGACGUCACAGAGGGUGAGAAUCCCGUACGUGGUCGCUAGCUAUUGCCGUGUAAAGCCCCUUCGACGAGUCGAGUUGUUUGGGAAUGCAGCUCUAAAUGGGAGGUAAAUUUCUUCUAAAGCUAAAUAUUGGCCAGAGACCGAUAGCGCACAAGUAGAGUGAUCGAAAGAUGAAAAGCACUUUGGAAAGAGAGUCAAACAGCACGUGAAAUUGUUGAAAGGGAAGCGCUUGCAGCCAGACUUGCUUGCAGUUGCUCAUCCGGGCUCUUGCCCGGUGCACUCUUCUGCAGGCAGGCCAGCAUCAGUUUGGGCGGUGGGAUAAAGGUCUCUGUCACGUACCUCUCUUCGGGGAGGCCUUAUAGGGGAGACGACAUACCACCAGCCUGGACUGAGGUCCGCGCAUCUGCUAGGAUGCUGGCGUAAUGGCUGUAAGCGGCCCGUCUUGAAACACGGACCAAGGAGUCUAACAUCUAUGCGAGUGUUUGGGUGUCAAGCCCGAGCGCGUAAUGAAAGUGAACGGAGGUGGGAACCCGCAAGGGCGCACCAUCGACCGAUCCUGAAGUUUACGGAAGGAUUUGAGUAAGAGCAUGGCUGUUGGGACCCGAAAGAUGGUGAACUAUGCUUGAAUAGGGUGAAGCCAGAGGAAAC